rnacentral:rRNA from 1 species
UUNUGAACUGGGUAGCUAGAGUAUNUCAGAGGGGGGUAGAAUUCCACGUGUAGCAGUGAAAUGCGUAGAGAUGUGGAGGAAUACCGAUGGCGAAGGCAGCCCCCUGGGAUAAUACUGACGUUCAUGCUCGAAAGCGUGGGUAGCAAACAGGAUUAGAUACCCUGGUAGUCCACGCCCUAAACGAUGUCGAUUAGCUGUUGGGCAACUUGAUUGCUUAGUAGCGUAGCUAACGCGUGGAAUCGACCGCCUGGGGAGUACGGUCGCAAGAUUAAAACUCAAAGGAAUUGACGGGGACCCGCACAAGCGGUGGAUGAUGUGGAUUAAUUCGAUGCAACGCGAAGAACCUUACCUGGUCUUGACAUGUACGGAAGAACUCAGAGACGAGUUUGUGCCUUCGGGAGCCGUAACACAGGUGCUGCAUGGCCGUCGUCAGCUCGUGUCGUGAGAUGUUGGGUUAAGUCCCGCAACGAGCGCAACCCUUGUCAUUAGUUGCCAUCAUUUAGUUGGGCACUCUAAUGAGACUGCCGGUGACAAACCGGAGGAAGGUGGGGAUGACGUCAAGUCCUCAUGGCCCUUAUGACCAGGGCUUCACACGUCAUACAAUGGUCGGUACAGAGGGUAGCCAAGCCGCGAGGUGGAGCCAAUCCCAGAAAACCGAUCGUAGUCCGGAUUGCACUCUGCAACUCGAGUGCAUGAAGUCGGAAUCGCUGGUAAUCGCAGGUCAGCAUACUGCGGUGAAUACGUUCCCGGGUCUUGUACACACCGC